AGGCGAAACGGCGCGCAUUAGCGCCGUCGUGUCGGGGCGGUUCCCGGCGCCUGAUGAUGCCAGCCAACA
rnacentral:hammerhead_ribozyme from 1 species